rnacentral:lncRNA from 1 species
CCCGGUGCCCGGAACCCUGCGCUGCGCCUAUGGAGCGGAGGAGCCCCGACGGGGCGGGUGGCACGUGCCCCGCAGGGCGCCUGGGUCUCUGAGUGGCGCGGUUGCGGCCCACCGGGACAUUGGUCAGGGACCCCUUGGUGCCUGAGCCCAGAGCAGUUCAGAGCUGGCUGCCUCUGCCCAACCCCGCGGCCCUGGUGUGGUCGGCGACCUCAGCCCAUGAUUUACCCCCGGGUUGAAUGCUACAAUCCCAUCGUCCGGCUUCACUGGGCAUCAGAGGAAGGGUGCACGCGGAGAAAACCCUGCACAGAUCCCGAUGCUCCCUACGUGUGCUGCUUGGUAUGGGGAGCCAGAAUCAAUUCUGAAGAGUCAGAAGGAGAGGCCCCAUGUGCACUGUGUUACAUUGCCAUUCCCAGCAUCUCCAAAGCAACCAUCUUCCAGUUGUGUGUGCUUAUCUCCUUGAGACUUCUUCUUUUUUAAUUAAAGGUUGAUUUAUUUUUA